AGAUUUUUUUUCCCUUCUCUCCAGUUUCGCAAACUGAACCGAGAGCCCAGAUCCCCAACUGAAUACAUCACUAGGCUGAAAACUGGUGCCCGUUAAACAAAACACGUGCCUCCCUCGCUUGCCUGCAGCGUCUCAGCUCGGAGUUCCUUGCUUUCAGCGCUACUGCUGAGGACUUCUCCCGUGGUAAAGGCUGACAAGGAAUUAACAAGAAGCAGAAUCGAGUAUCGGACACCAGACUUGACCCUACUGGAUCCUUAGCUGCUGCUAAUUACAGCUCACUGCACUAGAGGUUGCAACCAUUCUGCCCGUCUACGAAGAGCUGCCUGAGGCACAGCGGUGAUGCCAGCAGCCACCCAGGAAGCAAAUCGGUGGCAGCGCCGGGAAGACCGCCCACGCCUGCCAUCCCAGCGCGACCCACCAGGCCACGCCGAGUUACCGCUCAGCCGAACUGGAGCUGACACUUAUCAGCAAUUUUUCUGAGCCGAGAUGGAAGGUUAUAUUGGCCACUUAUCUGCAGCUUUGCCACGUCUGUCUCCAGAGUCUUGACACCAAUUGUGCUGCAUGUAUCAGGCAUUGAGACCACCCUACUGCCAUUGGCUGGCACUGCUCAGGAUAUGAAACACCUUUCAGGCGCCUAAGGCAAGUGUUCGCUGGCAGAUCUCAAUUAGUAGUGCAGUUGUGACCGCACCGUCGCGUGAGCCAGUAAAGGCUGUGUCGCCAGGUGUGUGAGACAGUCAUUUGCUCGCACAAGGGCACAUGGCUCCACUUAGAAGACCUUCUCAGGUAAGACAUGAACAAUUUUCCUUGGGCUCACGAGCAAGGGUGAAAAAUAUAUGUGCUGCUGCUUUCUCUUCAAUGUAAAGGACCAGCAAAGCCAUAUUCAGGUUCCAAGAAAGCACGUGCAAUUGUAGCAUCAAUUGAGUUUCUAUAUUAAACAUGUACAAAAAACCCCAGACUUAUUUCACUCUUGCAUUUAUGCUUGUCAUUGUUUUUUCUGCACUGCAAGCACACUUCCCCCUGAUAAAUCAUGGUUUGUUUUCUCCUGCAUUGUCUUUCAUGUGCCUUCUGUUUUCUUCCUGUGUCCUCAUCCCUUGUAGUCACUACAUCCCCAGCAGUAGACAUUUCUUUUUAUCUUGCUGGUAUCUUAACCUAAAUCUCUCUCUCUCCCUCCCUGUAUAUAGACGGAGCUUCCUAGCUCUUCCGAUAGAUAGAGAUCCCAGCCCCUGGUUAGAGAUCUCGUGCUACUUCUGUCUAGUCCUGUAUCUCUUCUCUAGCCCUGAUUGUAGCUAGAGAGAGAUCUUUCUAUCUUUUUAUACUGCUGAUAAACCUCUCUCUCUCUUGCCCACUGCACCUUGCAUUUAAUAGAAUAAAUGGAAGACAGGAGGGAAGUGUUUGCCCAAAUAGGAACUAGAAUCAGGGACACCUUUCUACAGUAGUAGCCAUCUGUCUGAGCCAUACAUUUCCCCAGCUUGUGCUUUUCUUCCCGGCCCCAUGCAUCUCUUGUUCUUGGUUUCCCAGAGGGCCAGCUUCAACCAGGAGGGCUGGAAAGAAGGCUGCUUAAUACCUCAUCGGUGACCUGAUGAAUUGUGCUAGGAAAUCAGAGAGAUGCAGGGAUCAAAUCUCCCCUGGGUGAGAUGGCCUAGAACCUGGGUCUCCUGCUUCUUGAAGCACGUGAAAUGAGGAAGAGAAACCUCUUCUCUGUCAAGCUUUGUAGGACAUAUCGAGCAGCUGAAAUGACUGGACAGCAAGUUGAUCUAAUUUAAAACAACAACUAAAAAAGGUGUGCUUCGAACGUUAAAUACGUUAAAUAGUAAAAUUGUAGCUUCUUUUUCAGUCUUGGGAAAAAGCAGUUGUUAAAUUAAAAAAUAUAACUAGACUGUUAAUUUUUAAGCUGUGCACAUAUGACUAGUUAAUAUGCUGGUAUGACGCUAGUACAGUUAGAAGGUCUAACACACCUACAGAGCAAGCUAAACAGUGUUAAUCUAACUCUUAUGGGCCAGCUCUGGCAGUUGAUCUAGAAGUUUAAAACUUAAUUUUUAUUUUUUUUUCCCAUUCAGUAGAGAAACUG